AUUGAACGCUGGCGGCAGGCCUAACACAUGCAAGGCGAGCGGAGCGGCGGACGGGUGAGUAAUGCCUAGGAAUCGGCCUGGUAGAGGGGGAUAGCGUCCGGAAACGGGAGCUAAUACGGCAUACAAGCAGAUGAGCCUAGGUCGGAUUAGUUAGUUGGUGGGGGAAAGGCCUACCAGGGCGACGAGCCGUAAAGGGUCUGAGGGGAUGAUCAGUCACACUGGCACUGGCACACGGUCCAGACUCCUCCGGGAGGAAGCAGUGGGGAAUCUUGGACUAUGGGCCAAACCCUGAUCCAGCCAUGCCGCGUGUGUGAAGAAGGUCUUCGGAUUGUAAAGCACUUUAAGUUGGGCGGCGUUACCAACAGAAUAAGCCCCGGCUAACUUCGUGCCAGCAGCCGCGGUAAUUC
rnacentral:rRNA from 1 species